rnacentral:sRNA from 1 species
AAGCUGGGCGGGUCAUGCGCCCUGGCCUUCGCGCAUCUCCCAGGUUAGCUGCGUGUCCGGGUGCUAGGCUGCAGACCCGCCGCCAUGACGCUGCGCGCGGCCGUCUUCGACCUUGACGGGGUGCUGGCGCUGCCAGCGGUGUUCGGCGUCCUCGGCCGCACGGAGGAGGCCCUGGCGCUGCCCAGAGGACUUCUGAAUGAUGCUUUCCAGAAAGGGGGACCAGAGGGUGCCACUACCCGGCUUAUGAGAGGAGAGAUCACACUUUCCCAGUGGAUACCACUCAUGGAAGAAAACUGCAGGAAGUGCUCCGAGACCGCUAAAGUCUGCCUCCCCAAGAAUUUCUCCGUAAAAGAAAUCUUUGACAAGGCGAUUUCAGCCAGAAAGAUCAACCGCCCCAUGCUCCAGGCAGCUCUCAUGCUCAGGAAGAAAGGAUUCACAACUGCCAUCCUCACCAACACCUGGCUGGACGACCGUGCUGAGAGAGAUGGCCUGGCCCAGCUGAUGUGUGAGCUGAAGAUGCACUUUGACUUCCUGAUAGAGUCGUGUCAGGUGGGAAUGGUCAAACCUGAACCUCAGAUCUACAAGUUUCUGCUGGACACCCUGAAGGCCAGCCCCAGUGAGGUCGUUUUUUUGGAUGACAUCGGGGCUAAUCUGAAGCCAGCCCGUGACUUGGGAAUGGUCACCAUCCUGGUCCAGGACACUGACACGGCCCUGAAAGAACUGGAGAAAGUGACCGGAAUCCAGCUUCUCAAUACCCCAGCCCCUCUGCCGACCUCUUGCAAUCCAAGUGACAUGAGCCAUGGGUACGUGACAGUAAAGCCCGGGGUCCGUCUGCAUUUUGUGGAGCUGGGCUCCGGCCCUGCUGUGUGCCUCUGCCAUGGAUUUCCCGAGAGCUGGUAUUCUUGGAGGUACCAGAUCCCUGCUCUGGCCCAGGCAGGUUACCGGGUCCUAGCUAUGGACAUGAAAGGCUAUGGAGAGUCAUCUGCUCCUCCCGAAAUAGAAGAAUAUUGCAUGGAAGUGUUAUGUAAGGAGAUGGUAACCUUCCUGGAUAAACUGGGCCUCUCUCAAGCAGUGUUCAUUGGCCAUGACUGGGGUGGCAUGCUGGUGUGGUACAUGGCUCUCUUCUACCCCGAGAGAGUGAGGGCGGUGGCCAGUUUGAAUACUCCCUUCAUACCAGCAAAUCCCAACGUGUCCCCUUUGGAGAGUAUCAAAGCCAACCCAGUAUUUGAUUACCAGCUCUACUUCCAGGAACCAGGAGUGGCUGAGGCUGAACUGGAACAGAACCUGAGUCGGACUUUCAAAAGCCUCUUCAGAGCAAGCGAUGAGAGUGUUUUAUCCAUGCAUAAAGUCUGUGAAGCGGGUAAGAGACAUGCUUGGGAGAGCCAUAUCUGGAACCAGCUGAAUGUUAAAGGGAUGUUUCUGUCUCUGACUGCAAUGGGCAGAAGCCCUGAGCUCUCCAGCUCUGAACUUUAAGUUGCCCAACCAGGGUCCCCUCGGCAUGCAUAGGGCUGACUCUAACCCCAGGCCUGAGCACACAGCCUGGAGUUCCUACCCUCUAGGGAGCUGUGGCUUCAAGAUCUUAAGCAGUAAGAGCUUGGAGGAGUCUUAGAGCUUGUCCAGGGCAAAAUUCACCCUCUACUGAUAAGGACCCCAGGAUUGAGAGCUUACCUCUACGGGGGUCACCUGGUGUAUGCAGGCGGAGUGGGGUGGGGCCCCUGCCCAGGUCUCCUCCAUUGCAGUCCACUGGCCCCUCUCCAUCCAGGCGCCAUGUUUCCAAUUCCCCCACCUGGAGCUCAUCCUUGUCUCCCUCCUGGGUUGGGUAUGAGUGAAGGGUCAGAGUUGAGAUUUGAUUUGAGCUCAUCCCCAUGGCCCCUAGAUCCAGCACUCUUUCCACAAGACCUUAUUUUUGCUGCAGCACCGUGG